AUCCAGCUGACGAGUCCCAAAUAGGACGAUGUGACGCGUGCCCUGGAU
rfam:Schistosoma rodhaini strain Burundi genome assembly, scaffold: SROB_scaffold0001572